rnacentral:antisense_RNA from 1 species
GUUGGCAUUCCAGGCAAAGGAAGAGCCUGAAUGUGUCCUGAGUUCUUGCUUAGCAAAAUUGGAUCACCCUGCACUUUGGGAGGCCGAAGCAGGUGGAUCACCUGAGGUCAGGAGUUUGAGACUAGCCUGGCCAACAUGACUGAUGAUAGCAACUGGCUCUGAAUUGCUGCUUCUGCUCAACUUCCUGGAUGCUAGCAGUACCUAGGGAUGUAAAGACCUUUCAACUACAGCUCAUAGCAGGCCCUUGUGUCUGAGAAUGACUGCUUCUGUGAUCUGAUGAGCACAUGUGGUGUGCAUCCAGUGGCUCUGCUCUUAAACUAGGCCCAUGACUACCAACAGUCAUUCUUCCUGGGCUGCUGAGACCAGAAAAUAAAAGUGCCUUCCAAAUGGUUCACAGAUGCAGAGGGAUUUUGGCUCAGGAUGAAUUGCACCUUCAGUCUCACCCAAACCUGAUUUAGAUAAUAUUUCAAUGAGACUUUGGACUUUAGACUUUACAGUUGAUGCUGCAACCAGUUAAGGCUUUUGGGAUUGUCGGAAUGGAAUGAAUGUAUUUUGCAUGUGAGAAGAACAUGAAGUGUGGGGGGCCAUGGGCAGAAUAUUAUGGACUGCAUGAUUUCGUCUCCCUAGAAUACAUAUGUUGAAAUUCUAAUCCCCAAUAUGAUGGUAUUAUGUGGUGGGAACUUUGGGAGGUAAUUAGGUUAUGAGGGUGGAGACCUCAUGUAAAGGAUUAGUGCCCUUAUAAGAAGAAACACAAGAGUUUGCUUCCUGUCUCUGCUCUCCACUAUGUGAAGAUAGAACAAGAAGAUGGCCAUCUGCAAACCAGGAAGACAGUCCUCAUCAGACACUGGAUCUGCCAG